rnacentral:lncRNA from 1 species
UCUUUCAGUCAGCACCCAGUCUAGCUGGAAACAUGGAGGGGUUAAAAACAUGUCUUGGGGAAAAAGGCUGUGGAGAAGAGAUUCAAGUGUCAUGAGGACCCGGAGGUGGAGUGCCUACACCUGUAAGGAGUUAAGAAUGUCAUAUCGUUGGAACCAUACAGGAUGGAGCUUUUUCUGACUAAAUUCCUUCACUGAGCAAUAUACACUUCAGUUUCCUCCAUGUCUCUUCAUGGUGGAGAGCAGUAUUUACACUGAUUUCAAGGUAUGGAGAUUCUUGCAACAAAUGUGUAAUGCAGAUCUGGACUCCAGACUCAUUAGAAAUAAAAGGCUCAGGUAUUCAU